rnacentral:rRNA from 1 species
UUGAACGCUGGCGGAAUGCUUUACACAUGCAAGUCGAGCGGCAGCGCGGGGCAACCUGGCGGCGAGCGGCGAACGGGUGAGUAAUAUAUCGGAACGUACCCUGUCGUGGGGGAUAACACAUCGAAAGAUGUGCUAAUACCGCAUACGACCUGAGGGUGAAAGCGGGGGAUCGCAAGACCUCGCGCGAUAGGAGCGGCCGAUAUCGGAUUAGCUAGUUGGUGAGGUAAAGGCUCACCAAGGCGACGAUCCGUAGCUGGUCUGAGAGGACGACCAGCCACACUGGAACUGAGACACGGUCCAGACUCCUACGGGAGGCAGCAGUGGGGAAUUUUGGACAAUGGGGGAAACCCUGAUCCAGCCAUUCCGCGUGAGUGAAGAAGGCCUUCGGGUUGUAAAGCUCUUUCAGGAGGGAAGAAACGGUUGCGGCUAAUACCCGCGACUAAUGACGGUACCUUCAGAAGAAGCACCGGCUAACUACGU